rnacentral:rRNA from 1 species
AUGGCGCUCUCCGGUGGUGGCUCGCGUUGCUCAGUUCCAGUAGUGCGGCAUCCUCGAUGCGGGCAGAAGCCGGAAGGGAAUAGGGUUCCCCUUUACGGCAGCAGUGGCGUGGCGGAAGCCGAAGGCUCCCAGUUUUCCAUUGUGGUCGGUUGCCUUGCUGCUCUUCGUUCACCUCGGUGCCCUGCUGCCUCCUUCGACGACAAUUGCUCCUGGAAGCUUUCCAGUCCCACUUGGUCGUUCUUGGACAGCAGUGGUGCUGUCGGCCAGGUGUGCCCGAAUCGAGGUCGCUCUGAGGCUGCUUCAGGCUUUGAGGUUGGCAUCCUUCUUGCUCUCAGGUGA